UUCAUGCGCCUGUUGAUGGGUCUCGGAGUAAAUCAUAAAACAAUUUUGCUACUGUUUGCUGUUGCUCGUUUGCUCAUGAAUGGUGUUGUUGUUGUUGGGGAACAAUAUUUGCAAUAAUGAGCAAUUAACAAAACGGAUAAAUGGCAAUUGAAUGACGGCAGCAUAACAAUUUUUGUGUGCAGUGCUGCAGUGGCUUGGUAAUGGGUGCCUAUGAAUUUGAUAUCCGGUGGUGGUCUGGUGGUAUUCAGGUCAUUUCACCAUAAGGAUUUUUCGCUCAUAUAAGUUGUAUGUCAGGUUAAACCAUUAAUAGCUAAUGAGGGACUCACUGACUGGUUAAUUGUAUGGCUUGCAUUGUAAAAACCAAAAACAACAACAACAACAAGUGGGCAAACCAAAUGGUCAGAUAUUAUGGAUUAAAUAAAAUGCCUCUUAACAAAUGCCAACUCAAAGAGACCGAGCAGAGAAAAAGGAAAACAAUUAGCAAAAUAUAUUUCUGUACCAACAACACACACACAUGCACAUGCACAUACACUCACUCUCAACCUCCACUCAACUCAUCUUUGGAAAACAACUCGUGCCGAUAAUGAAUUUUUGAGAAAAUCCAAAACCAUCAUUGAACUUACAGGGGAGAAAGCAACAAACGAAAUGAACCACCAAAGAACACCAAAUGUAAAAAUAAAUAAGGAGAAUAAAACAAGACCACAACAAAAAUUGUACU